GACGAACGCUGGCGGCGUGCUUAACACAUGCAAGUCGAACGGAAAGGCCCUGCUUUUGUGGGGUGCUCGAGUGGCGAACGGGUGAGUAACACGUGAGUAACCUGCCCUUGACUUUGGGAUAACUUCAGGAAACUGGGGCUAAUACCGGAUAGGAGCUCCUGCUGCAUGGUGGGGGUUGGAAAGUUUCGGCGGUUGGGGAUGGACUCGCGGCUUAUCAGCUUGUUGGUGGGGUAGUGGCUUACCAAGGCUUUGACGGGUAGCCGGCCUGAGAGGGUGACCGGCCACAUUGGGACUGAGAUACGGCCCAGACUCCUACGGGAGGCAGCAGUGGGGAAUAGUGCACAAUGGGCGGAAGCCUGAUGCAGCAACGCCGCGUGCGGGAUGACGGCCUUCGGGUUGUAAACCGCUUUCGCCUGUGACGAGGCGUGAGUGACGGUAAUGGGUAAAGAAGCACCGGCUAACUACGUG
rnacentral:rRNA from 1 species